rnacentral:rRNA from 1 species
UACAGAGGGUGCGAGCGUUGUCCGGAUUCAUUGGGUGUAAAGGGUCCGUAGGUGGUCAAGCAAGUCUGAUGUGAAAUCCCAUGGCUCAACCGUGGAACUGCAUUGGAAACUGCCUGACUUGAGUAUCGCAGAGGUGAAGGGAAUUCCCGGUGUAAGGGUGAAAUCUGUAGAUAUCGGGAGGAACACCAGUGGCGAAAGCGCUUCACUGGGCGAUUACUGACACUGAGGGACGAAAGCAAGGGGAGCAAACAGG